GACGAACGCUGGCGGCGUGCCUAAUACAUGCAAGUAGAACGCUGAAGAGAGGAGCUUGCUCUUCUUGGAUGAGUUGCGAACGGGUGAGUAACGCGUAGGUAACCUGCCUUGUAGCGGGGGAUAACUAUUGGAAACGAUAGCUAAUACCGCAUAACAAUGGAUGACCCAUGUCAUUUAUUUGAAAGGGGCAAAUGCUCCACUACAAGAUGGACCUGCGUUGUAUUAGCUAGUAGGUGAGGUAACGGCUCACCUAGGCGACGAUACAUAGCCGACCUGAGAGGGUGAUCGGCCACACUGGGACUGAGACACGGCCCAGACUCCUACGGGAGGCAGCAGUAGGGAAUCUUCGGCAAUGGGGGCAACCCUGACCGAGCAACGCCGCGUGAGUGAAGAAGGGUUUCGGAUCGUAAAGCUCUGUUGUAAGUCAAGAACGAGUGUGAGAGUGGAAAGUUCACACUGUGACGGUAGCUUGCCAGAAAGGGACGGCUAACUACGUG
rnacentral:rRNA from 1 species